UUGCCUUGUCAGCAAGAGAGGUGCCUGCAGCCUAGGCGGCAACCAUGCUAUCUUGCACAGACACAAAAAGCCUUUUGGAAGGUUGUGUCUUUGUUGAAGAUGAUGUUUAGCAUUUUAGCAUUCAAGACUCUUCAGACACGGAUUGCGAGAACGCCUGGCCUGAGAAAUUGACACCCGAGUGAAUGGAGGCGAAUGCACCUGCUUAAGUUGAGGAAGGCAGAUCACCAAAGGCGGCAGGAGUCCAGUGGUGAGGAUGGGAGGUCGGGAGAAGCUAAGAAGAAGGAGAGAAGAGACUCUACAGUGGGAGAACCACUUUGGGAAGAGCAGGAUCAGCCCCUUUAUCAUUUCGGUUUCCCUCUUCUGCUGCACCUUCUUCAGUUCGACAGUAUCGCUUUUUUGGUAAUCUGGCGACCGGAAGGAUACACUUUACUUCUGAGGAACAGCUACAACUGGAAACAAGGUCAGCUUCAUGUUGUUGUUGUUGUUGUUGUUGUUGUUGUUGUUGUUGUUGUUGUUGUUGUUAUAGCCCAGUAAGC